CUUCACCGACCCGAGCCACAGCGGCCGUUCCGCCGCGCGGUCGCGGCCGUACGUCGCGAGGAGCGCCUGGGCCUC
rfam:Streptomyces mobaraensis NBRC 13819 = DSM 40847 contig157, whole genome shotgun sequence.